CCAGGAGCAUUCCAGGGACUGUCAGCUGUUUUUCCCUGCGGCGUCCCGUUAAAGGCGCCGGGACCUUGUGUGUCUGCGAGAUAAAGAAGACCAUAAUCAAGAUGUUUGAACAACCACGGAGGGUGUCACACGCUCCCUCCAGCCUCCAACACGUCUGAUGCAGAGCAAACUAGUCGGGGAAGGAAAAAAAAGGGACGAGUCAGCGUCAUGGAAAGCAUGUGGAAAGCAUCAUGGAGGGGAUUGUUAUUCCUCUCUCUCCGAAAGCCAAAGCCUAAGUGUUCACAGGGGAAGUCUCCGUCCCGUGAUCUUUCAAGGAACCGAGGUUCAGGCUCCUGAGCCACAGAGGGGUCAUAUAAACAUAUUGCUUCUGACAUACAUAAUAAACAGCCGUGUAAUAAACAUGCUACUUCAUGUAUUCACACACACACUACGCACAUACACAUUGUCUCUGGCUUGAUCUCAGAAACACAUACAGCUUCUCCCAUUAUCCUGGAUGUGCAUCACAUAAAGGAACUUAUUGUCUUCACAGUAGAGGCCACACUGUGCAAACAGACACAUGUCUGUCGUUGCACAGGAUGGAUUAUAGGAUGGAGGGAUGUGCGGAGUCAUCGUUUGCCUGACGGUGGCCAUUUUGACUUUUCUCAGGCAGUAAACAAUGCAUCAGGUUUUCCCCCUUGGCAAACGAGCACAGUCACAACAGUGUCGGGCGUCGGUUUCAUUUACCACAGACAAAUAGGAACCUCUCUUUCUUUCCAUGUUGCCUGAUUUCCUCUCCCAGUAAUGAACACGGGUGUUUUUUACUGCCAUCCUCGCCCCAUCGCGUUCACGCUGUGGAAUAAAUGGCUGCGUUCAGCUCUCCGGUGCUAAACAGCUCGUAAAAGGCAGCUAUACGAUACUCUCCAACAAGGCCCGAACCUGUGCGGCCGCUCGGCCGCCUGUCGCCGGACUGCCCCCCCCCCCCCUCCCCUUCAAAUGGAACAAAUUAUCCGGCUGCUUGAGUCGAACAAGGUAAUAUUCAUUUUCGGGAGAAGCGGAGAAAGAAGCGGAGAAAGAAAGAAAACAUCUGGACGGCCCCGCUUGGUGUUUGCCUUCUCUGGAAGCCAUUAGAAGAAGCGGCGCCGCUGCUCCGAAUGGUCCUCGGCGCCUCACGUUUCACUGUGGUGGAGCCGUGCACAUCCUCUCGGCACCUGUGUCAGCUCUGGUUCCCACCCCGGCGUUUUGUGUUGUUUCUACGAGGGGCGAGAGAACAGGCGCAGGCAUCGGAUACGACGGGGAGGGAGCGUGACGGACAGCAGGGCGAGCGCUUCGCUGCAGGUGACCUCAGCUCUCUGCUCCUAAACCGCGCGUCGGCGCCGCCGGGGGAACAUGCAGCAGAGUUCUCCACCAGCGCUCCCAGUGCGAUGAUGACACAGCGUGAUGUCAGAGUGCAAUCUGCUGUUUUAGGUUUUCGGCGGAGGCAUUUUGACUUUUCAACAACAACACAGCGGUGGUGACAGCCGCAAAGACACCUUAAUGCCGAGUGAUUUACUGCAACGCAGGCAGCCCGACGGCUUUGUUGUUUCACGGCUAAGUGCUGAAUCACGCCGGUCUUUGUCACGGCCGUAUGUUGCACAACAAACACGCGCGUUGUGUACUUGCGGGGCUGCCAAGCUAAAGAGAGCCUGGGUGUCUUGCCGUUGCACAAUGAGCCACCGGCCGGAUGGCUGGAUGGAGAGGCGUGUGCGCUGGUGUGUGUUGAGGCCCGCAGACUGGCAAAACAUUGUGUGAAUCAUCCGGCGUCGCGUGGGGCAACGGCGCUGUCAACACGGGCCGGACGCCCCGCUGGGACAGGCUCGGCGGCAGUUGUGGUGCAGCUGGACCGGUGUCAAGUGCGUUUGUGCUCACUUAGACAAACACAAACCUUCAUACAACAAAGCACUGAUAAGGUCAGGUAAUGUGUUGAUAACAAAACUAAUGGUUGCUCUGCAGUAGAGGGUGAAUACUGAUGUAUCAUCUGCCUGACUUUAACCACUUAAACUUGUGGAAGGACGACUAACGCGAUGAGUAGCGCUGCAGGACUCUGGGGUUUUGGCUGAUCCCGUGUGACCAGUGGCUCAUGAUGAUGUGUAGGAUUACCUCAUCUUCGUAACCCACAUAAAUAUUGUGUAACAGUGAGAUCGUUCGCUGUAAUUCUUCUAAUUCUUUCCUUUUCAGCGUUUUAGCAUCUACAUGUUUGCGUGUUUUGAGUUUCACACGCUCCUCUCUUGUUAUUUAUUUUUUACUCUUUAUUAUUGCGUUGCAUAUUAUUACAUUGGGUCAAACACUGUCUUGGACUUUGAAUGGGGGAGGCCGGGUGAAAAGGUGAGCUCCGUCAGCGGUCACGCCUUGUCAGGCAGAACCAGACCAGAACGACAGGUGAAAGAAGAAUUGUUGUUCCUGCACUGACUCAACUGGAUGAUAUCAAAAUAGAGAUUAUUGUUGCACAUUCUGCUGGGAGUGUCUUCACUUGUAUGUGUGGACCUGUUUGUGGUGGAGGAACAGGCUUUGGCGUUGGUCACCUUCCGUGUUAACCUGGCUUUUAACAAACUGUCUAGAGUUUAUUUUACUGCGUCCUAAACUGCCUGCAGGUGGCACUUGACCUCUCAUUGAACUUCCCUCUUUUUCUCCUCAUGGUUGUUCUUAGUUUGAUUCAAUGAGUUCAACAUCAGCAUAAAUGAUAACAUUUUCUACCUCUCUAUUGCCUGCGCACAUGAUCUAUCUGGAACUACAAGCAUCUGGCUUCUCACUUUGCCUGUGACAGCGAAAGCAGCUUGGCUCCCUCACACUAAUGCCAGUAAUAACAGCUCCACUGGUCAUCACAACAACAAUUAUCAGAGACAGAUUUGAACAGACCAUGACCUGCUCUCUCUGGUGCAGGAUGGUGUUUCACUCGCUAAGGCUCCAUCCUCACCACUAGUGUCAUUUGGUCUUAAUGGUAACAGUGGGUUUCAGCACUAAACAGUGGAACGCUAACGUAGAACAUGACGAUGUGCUGUUCAGGCGUAUGACGUGUCCCGGCCAGAAGCUCAGCGCCUCUGGGAAAUAAUGAAAAGUCAACACAGAUCCCUGUUGUUGACUCAGAGACAGCUGAUACAGGUUAAUAUCGGUGCUCUCUCUCCUGCUCUCUGCAGCUCCUGCAUGAGUUUGUGUAAUCCCCCCCUCCAGCCCUCCAGGGCAAUGAAUGUCAGACACCUCUGACAUGUCUCAUUUACACCCAGUGCUUUCCAGCUAUGAUGAGUAGAUCAGUGUUUGUCAUACUGAUCUACUUGAACCAAGGUUUCACAUCCAAAGGUCACUUUUGUUAAUGUGAUCAAUACACAUUAUAAACAAAGGAAGUAAUUUAUUCUCCAGUGAUGAAACAUUUAUAGUUGUGGUGAUAGACUUUUGGGUGAUUAGGAAAACAAUCCUAUGUGGUUUUAUUUGAUUCUAAACCAUUCUAAAUGACCUAUAGGGAUUUGAUUUUUCGUUUGUGAUUUCAAUAAAGAUUUUAAAUUAUUUACAUUAAUGUUACAUUAAUUAAGGGUUGUUUGUAUCUUUGGCAAUUUAAUUAACAAAUGAUUCAUUCUAAUAAAACAAUUCUAAUAAUAAAUCAAGAACGUUGACUGAAUUCUGCACAAAAUCGGCUUUGAUUUUAAGUAAUUUAAGCAUUACAUAACAAAAUAACAAAAGAGUUACUGAUUAAUGUUGUAAUGAUUUCUGCAAUGAUUAGUCUGCACACCUUGUUCUGUCAAUUCACCACUCAGUCAACUACAUCACAACCAUGUCGUCGAUUUGUUAACAGACUGUCAACAUAAACCAAACCACUGGCGCCCUCUGCUGUGGUAAAAUGGUUUAUGUACACAUAUAGAGAAAUUUAACAAAAGACGAAAACAUUUACUGAUUUAUUUUAUUUCCCAUUAUUACAUCGUUUUAUUUGCUGGAAUCUUUUUUAUUUUUAAUAAAAAACCGAAAGACUUUUGCAAUAAUAUUUAAUUAAAUGUAAUGUAAAAAUGUAAA